GUAGAGACGGGGUUUCUCCAUGUUGGCCAGGCUGGGACUCCUGACCUCAGGUGAUCUGCCCACCUCGGCCUCCCAAAGUGCUGGGAUGACAGGUGUGAGUCACCGCAUCUGGGCUAGAUUUUGCCUUGAUGGGUGGGAGGUAGGCAGGAAAGAUGCAAAGAGGCCGUCCCCAGAGUGAACGGAUGGAUGAGGCCGUCCCCAGAGUGAACGGAUGGAUGAGGCCGUCCCCAGAGUGAACGGAUGGAUGAGGCCGUCCCCAGAGUGAACGGAUGGAUGAGGCCGUCCCCAGAGUGAACGGAUGGAUGAGGCCGUCCCCAGAGUGAACGGAUGGAUGAGGCCGUCCCCAGAGGGAACGGAUGGAUGAGGCCGUCCCCAGAGUGAAUGGAUGAGCACCCAGCCUGAGCCCGGGAAGGUGCUGAGGGUUAGCACAGGCCGCCUGCUGCUGCAGGAGUGAGAGGGGCCCACUCAGGGAAAGAGGGGUUCAGGGGGAGCAGCCAGGUGUGUACAGAUGGCUGUAGCCAUGUGGAGGCGCGCGUGGGGACCGGCAGGCAGGCAGGGAGUUGGGCUUUCUUCUGGGAGCAGUAGGGAGCCACGGUUGACCGUGGAGCAGGGGAGAGACCUGGUUUGAUCUUGGUCUUGACUUCCAAGCCCCUUGGUCCCUCCGACCUUGGAGGCUGCUGGAAGGAGAGGGCAUCUCAUUUACCAUCCUGGCUGCUUCAUGGGGAUUUGGGAGAUAAAAAGCAGCUCUUUCAGUUUAACUUUGGUUGUAGGA
rnacentral:lncRNA from 10 species